rnacentral:lncRNA from 1 species
CAAAACCAUGUACAUCAUUUGUCCUGACUUAUUUACAGUGGUUUAGAUGAACAGACUGAGACUAGCAUGUGAUGCCUUCUGAGUGGCUGGCCCUAGCAGUAGGUUUGUUUUGUUUGGUAUCUUUGAAUAUAUCAAAUGGUAUAUUGAACAGGCAUUUCCUUCCAGUAAAUAAUUGGGCAGGCAAAGCUAUUAACUUCCAACCAGGGCAUUAUUUCUGCUCUGCCCACUCUAGUUGGCUCAACAGACUGAAAAUUGUUAAGUGGUCAUUCUGUAUCAGUCCCACCUCUCUCUGCCCCAGGAUAACUUUUACGGUCACAAACAAGAAGACAGCACAAGGACUAUGGCUAACAACACAUCAUCAUCUCAACUCAACAUGAAAACCAGGGCUGGGCUGCCUGCGGGGCCCUCUGAGCAGUGCUGGGAUUUCUCUUCCCUCACAAUGAGUUAGUUCUCAUUAAUCUUCCACGAGCUCUGCUUCCACUGCAGGCAAUGCUUUUUGAUGAGUCCUCUCAUCUCCACCAAGACCACUCCAUCUUCAUCUGUGUCUAAGGCUUUAGUUGUGCCUGGCUGGCAACCUCAAACUCUUUGGCCACAAGCGAGAUGCAGGAAUUAAGCAAAAACAGAUCUCCAAGCAACCAAAAUAAUCAUCACACAUUGUAGGACGGAUUCAGGCACUCAAAUGCCUACAGGCAGGUUAUUGAUCAGUGCAGUUCUGCGGAACAUAAAUAUUUUGGGCACUGAAUUCUUCAUCCUGACAUGGAAAGUUAAGUUCUGAUCUUUUAAACCUGGCUGAGGAGGAAGAUUAUGGGAGAAUACAUUUCACAAAAGUACAGAGCUGAAGGGCAAAGUUUCGAAAGCCCAACUCCCAUCCAUCCAUUCUCCAGAAAUGUGGUGUCAAAAGGAGACACAAGGUAAAUGGAUUUGGGGAAAGCCUUCUGCCACUUAUUGCUUUGUCUAGAAGCACUUAAGAAAGAAUGCCACAUGCUGGGUGCCGUGGCUAAUGCCUG